GUUACUCUGCUCAAGAGCGUAACACUGGGCUCUUACAUCAAGAGUCUAGUGGUUUGGGCACUGCACAGCACUUGCUCAGCUGGACAGUGUGACAUUUUGUUCUUUUGAAUCUGAACUUUCACCGAUUUAACCUCGCAAUUUAACUAUGUUGGUUUUACGGCGCAACGCACCGCUUCAUUAUGCUGUCCUCACACGGGACUUUAGUCAAAGAACAGAAUAGAAUGGACUUGAAGAAAUUUAAAGAAGGACACUUACCGGAUUUCGCUUGCAGAAAAGCAAAGUUCUUCACCUGGAAACAAAAGGCUGGAAACCCAGCAGCACCCAGGAGAGGGCCAACCGUGCUACUGGAGAGAGUCGUGGAGAGGUGACCGUGAGAAGUGAGCACAAUGAAGGUCCACCAGCUAAUCUGCGCCGCAGAACCACUGCUGCUCCACUGAGGGAGUCUCUGGGAUUCAGGAGAUGAGGAUCCCUUAAAGAUG